rnacentral:lncRNA from 1 species
GGAGUACAAAGGAAUUAAGAAAGAAUGUGCUCAUCGUGGUAAUCAUAGAAGUAUGAUGGCACCAAAUAGUCCAAAUUUAUGUAUAUCUAUCUUUCCCAAAGCAUCACCCAUGGGCCAUGGUUCCCUUGAUUUAUUUGCUACCAUCAAAAGAAGGCUUCAGCCUGUAUGUAUGGAAUAUUUUAGGGGAAGUAAAUUACAGAACGGCCUAUUGGUGUAAGAUGAAGAGAAUGUCUUAUCUAUGCAAGAAACCAGUAGCUUUAUAGGCAGCAUGAGCAACGGCUGAAAUCAUGCAGAAACCUAACAAAAAUAUCACUUCACACAUAAAUUACGUCAACUAAUAGCUCUAUUUCUUCACCAUCAGGUUCAUAUAAGCAGACAGAGAACAUCAUACUCUCAAGUCAGUGCUUGUGAAACUUACAUAUUUCUACAACACCUAAUUGGCAACAGUAAGCUUAUGUGAUCUCUGCACAAACCAGGACCUAAAUGACGGUUUUCAUAGUUCGAGGACCUACGUGACACCUCUAAAAUAGUUUAAGGACCUAUGAUGCACUUCACUCUAAUCUAAAAUACGUAUUGCCAGUGAUUUCUAUUCCCAAAUCAAAGGGGCAGCAAGGCUUCACAAACUCCUCCAUCUCAUAGAAACGGAGCUAAGCCACCGACGUCGUCCCUUCUCAAGCUGUCGCAGGAGAGAGAGAGAGAGAGAGAGAGAGAGAGAGAGAGAGGGAGAGAGAGAGAGAGAAACCUGGGCAUGCGACCGAUGGCGGGGAGAGACUGGGGCGGCGCCUUUGGAUCUCGGCUUUCUUGGUGUCAUUGCAGACUGCUUGGCUGCCGAUCUAGUGCGUACGACCAUGUCAGCUACCUCCAUGGAUCUGGAGUUUAGGCAAAGGAGAAACGGGGCAAGAGAGAGGAGAGGGAAGGGGAGAUGGGACGGCGGCCUGUCUGAGGAAGCGAUAGGGAAGGGGGGAGGUGUUGCGUGCGCUCGAAUGAAAAGGAAAGGUGAGGGAAGUUUGCUUCGAGGGGAAGGGAAAGCAG